CAAAAUCCACAAAGUAAUGACAUUAUAUGGAUGUGUACAUAUUUUAAAGCUUUAUGCAUGACAAUACCAAUGCAAAAUAUGCACGUGUGAUGCAAGCUUUAUUUCUGUCCACUAGGGGUCACUAUCCUCAUGUUCUAAACUAUACUAUUUGUGUCUUUGAGUGUUUGUGGCUUUAAAAGGCAGGGCUUGGCCCGCUACGUGACGUGUCUUGAGUUGGCUGGCUAACCCGUUGACCGGCCCGCACUUAUUGUUAUACGCAAAAUCUUGCAAUAUCGGGAAAAAUCAGCGAUAUAAAACUAGGUACGUACGAUUUAAAAAAAUCUCCGAUUCAGUGAGACCGCACAAAGUGAAGGGCGAUGUGGCGAGCGACAACUGUAAAGCAUUGUUUUUUCCUUGAUAGAAAGAUGAAAAACAUUCAGGGGAACUUGUAUGUACACGCAACACGUUUUGAAGUUAAGCAGAUCGGCUGCAUGUAUGUAUUAAGCUGAACUGCAGGACUUCAUGGUGGGUUUUGCUGCCAAAUCAGUCUUGUAAACACAAGGCCUGGAACACUAUGCACCAGCCACCCUGCAGGAGUUUACCCACUCAUGUACAGCAGUUUAAAACAUCAUUUAAAUGCAUGCCUUGCGAAAGCAUAAAGAAAAGUUGACACUUUUAACAUGUUUUCUUACUUACUGUGUCUUAACUUAAAGCUACUGUAAUGUUGUUUUUUUUCUUCCCAGGGGUCUGCUGUGCUUUGAGAAGUAAGCGUGAAGUGAAGACAUGAGACCAACACCCGGCCACGUCCUUGGUCAAGGCGCCCUUCUCUGACGAUUCCCGCUGAGUCAUCUUCCAGAAGGCGAGACAUCUUCCUUUCCCCCAAGUAAUGAGAAGAAGAAGAAUAGAAGAAGAAAAGAAGAAGAAGAAGGAGAAGGAGCCUCGCUUGCCUGCUGGACCUCGACUGGACUCUUCAUGCUGCUGUUUGCUGUCAAGCUGGUGGCCAACGUUAGCGGCUCUGCCGCUAAGAAGGCGUUUAUGUAGUCUGUACAAGGAUGUCUACAGAUCAUCAGGGGGCACAUCGCAGAAGGAGGCGAGGUAAGGAACAGUUCCUAUUGCAUAAUCUAAGAAUGUGCUUCACUGACAAUAGUUCAUCGGUACAGGUCACAUAACUAUUUGGCCUCGAGGUAGCUAUCCAUAAAUUGUCUCAUCUGUCAGUGUAGUGCAUUUCUUGUCAUUACUGUCAGUGCUGUAGAGAAUGUGGUGUUUUUGAUUGACUGACAUCUCACAUGCUGUAUGUGGUUUUAUUGCAAUGUGAACAUGUCUCGCAAAGAAAAUAUUUUAUUACAUGUCAAAUGUUUUUUUAGCUUGAUGUCAUGCUCUUUCAAGGUUGAGUGAAUUUUGGCUUAACAUGAUGGUUAAAGUAACGCGAUGUGACAAACUGUAUCAACAACCAAUAUGUCUUGUGUGUAGGUACAAAUGCACAGUCCAAUAGAAGGGCUGCAUAAAACAGGUAUCAAAAUGU